rnacentral:tRNA from 1 species
CGGGGUGUGGCCCAGUGGUAGGGCGCCACGUUCGGGACGUGGAAGCCGGGAGUUCGAAUCUCCCCACCCCGACCA